rnacentral:rRNA from 1 species
AGGGUUUGAUCCUGGCUCAGGAUGAACGUUGGCGGCGUGCCUAACACAUGCAAGUCGAACGGGAAGCCGAUUUCGGUCGGCAGAGAGUGGCGCACGGGUGCGUAACACGUAGCUCACCUGGCCCGAAGCGCGGGAUAACGCACCGAAAGGUGUGCUAAAACCGCAUAAGCUCACGGUUUGUAGAGGACAGUGAGAAAAACCCUGGUGCUUCGGGAUGGGGCUGCGGCCCAUCAGCUAGUUGGUGAGGUAAAGGCUUACCAAGGCGACGACGGGUAGGGGGCCUGAGAGGGUGGCCCCCCACACUGGGACUGAGACACGGCCCAGACUCCUACGGGAGGCAGCAGUGAGGGAUAUUGCACAAUGGGCGCAAGCCUGAUGCAGCGACGCCGCGUGGGUGAUGAAGGUCUUCGGAUCGUAAAACCCUUUUCUGCGUGACGAUGAUGACGGUAGCGCAGGAAUAAGUGUCGGCUAACUACGUGCCAGCAGCCGCGGUAAAACGUAGGACGCAAACGUUAUCCGGAGUUACUGGGCGUAAAGGGCGCGCAGGCGGUUGGGUAAGUGAGGCAUGAAAGCCCCAUGGCUAAACCUGGGGAGGUUGUCUGAUACUGCCCGACUAGAGUACGAUAGAGGGGUGUAGAAUUCCGCGUGUAGUGGUGAAAUGCGUAGAGAUGCGGAGGAAUACCAGAGGCGAAGGCGGCACCCUGGAUCGUAACUGACGCUGAGCGCGAAAGCAUGGGUAGCGAACGGGAUUAGAAACCCCGGUAGUCCAUGCCGUAAAC